rnacentral:rRNA from 1 species
GAUUCUGGCUCAGAACGAACGCUGGCGGCGCGUUUAAGCAUGCAAGUCGAGCGGCAAGGGCCUUCGGGCCCCUAGAGCGGCGGACGGGUGAGUAACACGUGGACAAUCUGCCCCCCGGCCCGGGAUAGCCCAGGGAAACCUGGAUUAAUACCGGAUGAGACGGGACCCGCGAUGGCGGGACCCGGGAAAGGCGCUGCGGCGCCGCCGGGGGAUGAGUCUGCGUCCCAUUAGCUAGACGGCGGGGUAACGGCCCACCGUGGCGACGAUGGGUAGCCGGCCUGAGAGGGUGGACGGCCACAUUGGAACUGAGACACGGUCCAGACUCCUACGGGAGGCAGCAGCUAAGAAUCUUCCGCAAUGGGCGAAAGCCUGACGGAGCCGACGCCGCGUGAACGAAGAAGGCCGUGAGGUUGUAAAGUUCUUUUCGGGAGGGGGAACAACCGUGGCAGGGAAUGGCCGCGGGAUGACGUGAAUCCCGGAAUAAGCCCCGGCUAACUACGUGCCAGCCGCCGC